UCAAUUUAGCCCAAAAUAUAUACGUUAGUACGUAGCUUAUGCUUUCAAAUUGAAAAUUUGAGGUAAUGAAGUCAAAAUUCAAUCGCGUAAGAGAUGCCAGAGAAGAAUUCCUUACCUCAUCAGGGCCAACAUCGACAACUCUCUCCUCCAGGGCACCAAUAUCCUCAAUUUUGCCCUGCAGCAGGCCAGUGGCAGAUAUCAUUGACGCUGGUGUUAUUGAUAAAUCAUUAGUUAUUAUGCAAGCAAAAGAUUUCUUCACAACUCCGCCCUCAAUAUCCGAAACAAUCGACUGCUGCACUUCAUAACACUGACUCGAAGAACAUUGGGGACACCUGGUAUUUACUUCAUUUGUCACACAGCGGUGAUUGUUUCCACAGUUGUACAACUUUCUCUCCACAGGUACAGGUCGCGGACAAGCUUGGGGCUGCAAGAGCAGAGAUGCUUUCCCCCAUUUUAAAAGGGGUUUCAAGAGCUCAACUUUGGUUUGAUGGUGUAUUAGGUAAUCUUCAGGCAGGUUUUCAAGACUUCGGUACAGCUGGCUUCCUGUGCAGCCACCCAAACCAGCAUCCGUGACGAGCCUGGCGACACUACCAAGUGGCAUAUAAAGGACAUUGAACAGGAUAUCCACAAAAUCUUUCUCAGCUUCGGCAAACAAGACCUUGUUAGCUCGUUUAUCAAUCAUUAACUUCAAUUUCACCGUCGUUGUUUCAGUAUUUGAUGUUGCUGUUGUUGCCAUUGCCGUGGUUGAGGUUUCUGAAGAAAAACAAAUAGGUAAUUAAUUAAAUAUCACUUCUAUAUACGUGGAUUACUUACUCUCCUUAGGAUGCGGAAGUGCUUCCUAAUUAAAGUCACUUUCCAAAAGUAAAACAAAGUGGGAGCAUGCACCCACUAGUGGUGGAGCUCCGAAAGAUGGAUAUGUAACGUGGCAACUGGCCAGCAAACUUGUAACUAUUUUGUACGGUAAAGCAUCACAUUUAGCUUUUGGAGGUUUUCUGUGCAGGCAGUACUGUUUUACAAAAUUAUUGAAAUGCUUUUAACCAAAGCGUGAUGUGCAAAUCUUUACCUUAGCAACGUAAGAAAGCUAAUAAGAACGCGACUGUUAUGGCAUUCUUUUUAUUAUUACUUUUGUGACUUACCUAUUGUGCUGCCUGCCGGUGAUUUGUCUUGCUUUUCUUCUUUGUUUCACUUUAUUUUAUUCGUUACCAUUGCUUCCUUUUUCUUGCUUUUGUCGAUCCAUUGCUGUCUUUUACUUUGAUUGAUUUUGGUGGCUCUUGCUUUUGUUGCUUUUGUUGCUUUUGUUCUGCGUCAGCUUGCUUAUCGAAAAAGAACCCCAAGAAGUCAUGAAACAGAUUAUUUCUAAAAAAACAAAGAGAGCUUCUUUUGCAAGUCACCUUGUUUUAACGGAACUCAGUUUUAAUUCAUUCACUGAAUAUCAAAAUCGUGUUUAUUUUAAUUUAUCUCACUAGUCAUGGUAUGCAGAGGUAGGCUAAUGCGGGCUGCAGCCCGAGUAAGCUUUUUGAAAAAAAAAAUUAAUUAUAAUUUAUAAAUUUACUUUUUUAAUAUUUAUAAAAAUAUAAGAAAAAAUCUAAUAAUUAUAGGAUUCUUUAUUUUCCCCACAUCACAAUUCAUAAAACUCGACAAGUAUCCAACUGAACCUGAUUAAAUUCACCAAAAUUCAAUUGCUCGAGUCUCUUACCGCUGCUGAAUACCCAAUCUCCUGUGCUCAAAUUGAAGCCCACCCGCUACCUCAUGAGUGAUGCCGAGCCGAUGUCGCAAGGCCUGCACUCGUAGGCUGAAUCUCUCGCCGCACCUGAAGUCCCAACACAGAAUGCCCAGUCUCUUGAUACAGUGCCUGGUACAAAUCACUUUGCCUUUUAAAAUUUAAUUUACAGAAUAGAAUAUGAUUUAUGAUAAUGAUGGCAUAUUGUCAUACGAAGUGGAAUUGUGGAAGUUGUUGAUUAUGUGAUUCAUCUUUUUAAAAUUAUAAAAUAAUAAAAUGUGAUAAUGGACUACUAGAAUAUUAGAAUAUGACAAAUGGUAAUGAUAGCAUAUAAAGUGGAAGCUGCUGAUUCAUCUUCUUGGAAUUAUAAAAUAAUGAUGGCAUACAGAGAAUGAGUAAAUAAAAUAGUAAAACAAUUAAUUUUGAAUGCUGACUUUUUUUAAUUAGCUUUUAACUUGCCAUUUUAUCAAUUUUUUUAUAAAAUAAAUAAUAAUUUUCUAUUGUAUUAUAUUGUAGAUUCAAUGUUAAACAAAGCAAGAAAAACUCUACAUUCUUUUCUUAAGAGAGUAGGUGAAAAUCAAUCAUCCACCAAGUCUUUAUGUCAACUUAAUGCUCAAGAUUCCAGUGAGCAACAUACUUCUAAGUUUCAAAGGGUUGAAGUUGAAGAAACUAGAAAUACUUAUAUGGACCGUGAUCCUGGAUUACGCCAUCAAAUAGGGACAUAUUCAAUAAAUCAAUAUGAUGAUAUUCGAAGGAAGUACAUCAAAAUGGGACCUUAUCAACCUAAACUAUGAGAUUAUCCACUAACUAAUAAUGGCAUGCAAGAACGUAGGUUUCAGUAUCACUAGUUUAAAAAAUUUCCAUGGCUUGAGUAUUCUGAGGUAAAAGAUAGUGCAUUUUGUUUUCCAUGCUUUCUUUUUUAUGAAAUUCCAUCGAGCAACCCAAAAUUCGUUAUUGAAUGGUUUUCUAGUUGGAAGAGAGUCAACAAUGGAAAAAAAAAAUGUCCCUUUUUACAGCAUGAUGGGGUUCGUCUUCUCAUCAUAAUAAAAGUAUGCAGAGUUGGGGUUGUUUGAGGAACUCAAUUCAAUACAUUGAUAGACUAAUUAAUGCCCAAACUUCACAACAAGUUUUGGAGAAUAAGCUACGAUUGAAGACCUCAAUUAUUGCUAUUAAAUGUUUUGCAAAGCAAGCAUGUGCUUUUAGAAUUCAUAAUGAAUCAGUUAAUUCAAAAAAUCAGGGAAAUUUCAUAGAGUUGAUAAAGCAUUCAGCGGAGUGUAGUAAAGAAAUUGCUUCAAGUUGUCUUGGAAAAUGCUCCAUCAUAAGCUAAGUAUACAUUGUCUGACAUUCAAAAAGAGCUUUUAAAUAUUCUUGCAAACAAAGUGCGAAACAAGAUACGCAAGGAACUUAGAGAUGGUAAGUUUUGUAUUUUAGUAGACAAAGCACUUGAUGAAUUUGAUAAAGAGUAAAUGACUAUUAUUUUAAGGUAUGUUGAUUGUGAUGGGUAUAUUCGAGAACAUUUUUUUGAAGUUGUCAAUGUCAUGGAAACUACAGCGGUAACACUAAAAAAAGAAAUAUGUAAUGUUCUUGCACGAUAUGAUCUUUUAGUUGAAGAUAUCUGAGGGUAAGGAUAUGAUAGUGCUAGUAACAUGCGGGGUGCAUGGAAUGGAUUACAAGCAUUAUUUUUGAAAGACUGCCCAUAUGCAUAUUAUAUACACUGUUUUGCACAUCAACUGCAACUUGCUUUAGUUGCAGCAUCUAAUGAUGUGCCAGAUGUAUGGCUUUUCUUUUCAACAUUGGGUUCAAUUGUAAAUGUUCUGACUUCAUCUGCUAAACAACUUUCUGAGUUAAAAUUGUUUGGGAAGAAGAAAUAAUAGAUUUGAUAACUUCAUAAGAAGUUCAAACUUGUACAGGGGCCAAUCAAAUUCAUACUUUGCAACGACCUGGAGCUACUCGCUGGAGCUCUCAUUUCCGUUCUGUCAGCAGGUCGCUUGAUCUAUUUAGUGUUGUUCGUAAAGUUCUUGGGAAGUUGGUAGAGUGUGGGCCUAAUAAUAGCAUACGUGGAGAGGCUAAAGUUGUGUGCGAAUCAAUGACAUUUUUUUAAUUUUGUGUUCAUUUUGCAUUUAUUAAAUAAAGUUUUGGGGAUUGGUGAUUUACUUUGUCAAGCAUUACAAGUGAAAUCUCAAGAUAUUUUAAAUGUUGUGCACUUAGUCUCAACUACGAAAAAACUUCUUCAAAGGCUGCGAGACAAUGGUUGGGAAACUUUUAUUAAGAAUGUAGUUCUAUUUUGUGAAAAGAAUGAGAUAGAUAUGCCUGAUUUGAAAGCUCGCCAUAUGAAAGGCAGAGGACGUUCUUGUCAGCAGAAUGAUUAUAUUACAGUUGAGCAUUAUUAUCAUUAUGAUAUAUUUAAUGUUGUGAUAGAUUUUCAAUUGAUAAAGUUGAAUAAUAAAUUCACUAAACAGACUUUGGAACUCUUUGGAACUUUUCACUCUUAGUUUAGUUUUAAAUCCUAUUGAUGCAUUUAAAUCAUUUAAAAUUGAAGAAAUUUGCAGUCUUGUUGAAAGAUUUUAUCCUCAAGAUUUCACUAAAAUUGAGCUACAGGCUUUGAGAAGACAAUUAUAAUGCUUUGAGAUUGAUAUACACUCUCUUCAAGAGUUUCAGAAUAUUACUUCCCUUUUUGAAUUGUGUCGAAGAUUAAUUGAGACUAGAAAGUCAUAGAUUUAUUUCUUAUUAGAUAGAUUAAUUCGUUUAGUGUUAAUCCUUCCUGUUUCAACAGCAACAACAGAGAGAGCAUUUUCUGCCAUGAAACUAAUUAAAACAACACAUCAAAACAAAAUGGAGAAUGAGUUUCUUUCAUAUUGUAUGGUUAUUUACAUCGAAAGAGAAAUUGCAGACAAUAUCGACUCAGAUGCAAUAAUAGAUAAAUUUUCGUUUUUGAAGAAUCGCAGGACACAGCUUCAUCGAUAAUGUUUUUCUUAUUUACAUUAUAUUUUUAUAGUUUUAUGGUUAGAUUUUUGCUUAUGUAGUGUGCUUAAUUUCAUUUGUAUAACACAAAUUUUUUUAGAAGUAAAUUUCAUUUUUUUUUUAAAUCUGGCCCACCCAAAAAAAUAAUGCUAGCUUCGCCACUGAUUAGGGGUGGGCAAAAAAACCGUAGUGUUAAAAAAACCGAACCGAACCGACGGUUUUUUCUAAUUCGGUUCGGUUUUUAUUUUUUAAAAAAACCGAAUAUACCGUUUGUAAAAAAAACCGAAAUGUCGGUUCGGUAUUCGGUUCACUUAGCUGAACCGAAAAACCGAACCGAAAAACCGAAUUAUUUUUUUAUUUUAUUCAAAUCAAACAUGUGUUAAUAAUUUUAUUCAAAUCAAACAUGAUUUUAUUCAAAUCAAACAUGUGUUAUUUCUCUUUAUAACAUUAUGAUUAUGUUUAUAUAGAUGGAGUAUUGGAGUUUGUUUAUGUAUUUUGAAAUUUUAAUAUUUCAUAUUUUGGGAGUAUCUUAUUAAUAGUUAGUAAGAUAUUAGUGAUAAAAUGUGUUUUGAAUACUUUGUAUUUAUUGUUAAUAUUUGUAAUAAAAUUAGGAUAAAUUAAUUGUUGAAAAAAAUUAUUACAUUCAUGAGGCCCAAUGGACUAAAAAAUUAAAAAUUCAAAAUAAGCUCAAUAGGCCAAGAACCGAAAAAACCGAACCGAACCGAACCGAUCCGAAAAGAACCGUUUGAGUUCGGUUCUUAUUGAGUUCGGUUCUUAUUCGGUUCUUUUUAUAAAAUAACCGAUUUAAAUCGGUUCUACUUAAUUUCGAACCGAACCGAACCGAACCGAACCGUGCCCACCCCUACCACUGAUGGUCUGCAGGCAAAUAGGACAGGAACUGAACGAAUUAUCAUCAAACUGUAACUUAGGAAAGAAGCCAUAUGUAAUUUCCCCAAUUCUGACUCCAUUAGUUCCAACAAUGUAUAACUUGACCAUCGGUGAUUCAUUUUCGAACACAAGUUAACAAUUUGGUCUGUCUAAUGAUAAUUAUUUGUAUGUUUUUAAGGCCUAAUUUACAAGCUGACAAGACUAAUCACCAUGGAUGAAGAAGAUUUUUGCCGAUCGCCAAUGAUGGCUGCCCUGCGGGCGUUCUAGUAAUUUACGAUAUUUAAGAAUAGUGGAAACGAGCAAAAAUUGGAAUGUACAUGUUCAUUAAUUAAAGUAUGAGUUAAUAACUGAAAAAUGAUUGUGUUACGCUCAAUUUACCCCAUCAUCCUCCUAAAAAAAAUAGGGAAAAAAAAAAUCAACAACCAAGUUUAAGCAUAAUAUAUGAACAUCAUUAAUUCAUCACAUACUUUUGUACCGUCAAGAACAACGCACAAACAAGAAAUACAUGUAUAUAUAUACAUACUAGGUUUAUUAUGAAUAAACCAAACGGAUAUAUAAUGACAACGUAUAGCUAUCAUGACACCACAGUUGUUUUUAUGAGUCAUAUCAUUUUCAACCCAUAAACUUUUUCUUCAUAAGGAAGGAAGACGGUAGUGAGAGCUUCAUUUGUUUGCAUUGAAGCAUUCAACAGCUCCAGAACCUGAGAUGUAUAAAAACCAUGCUCAACUUAGCCCAAAAUAUAUACAUUAGUACCUAGCUUAUGCUUUCAAAUUGAAAAGUUGAGACAAUGAAGUCAAAAUUCAAUCGAGUAAAAGAUGCCAGAGAAGAACUACUCCUUACCUCAUCAGGGCCAAUAUCGACAACUCUCUCCUCCAGGGCACCAAUAUCCUUAAUUUUGCCCUGCAGCAGGCCAGUGGCAGAUAUCACUGACGCCGGUGUCACUGAUAAAUCAUCAGUUACCAUGUAAGCAAAAGCUUUCUUCACAACUCCGCCAUCAGUAUCCGAAACAAUAUUCAACUGCUGCACUUCAUAAUUCAUUAUAUUCAUUGCACUGUUAACAGAACCAAAAGCACUAGGUUGGGUACACUGGGGACACCUGGUGUUUUCUUCAUUUGUCACAUACGGGUGAUGGUUUCCACAAAUGUACAACUUUCUCUUCCCAGGUACAGGUCCCGGACAAGCUUGGGGCUGCAAGAGCAGAGAUGCUUUCCCCCAUUUUGAAAGGGGUUUCAAGAGCUCAGCUUUGGUUUGGUCGUGUAUUAGGUGCUCAUCAGUGAGGUUUUCAAGACUCUGGUUUAGGUUUCCUAUGCAGCCGCCAAAACCAGCAUCCGUGAGGAGCCUGGCGACACUACCAAAUGGCAUAUAAAGGACAUUGAACAGGAUAUCCACAAAAUCUUUCUCAGCUUCGGCAAACAAGACCUUGUUAGCUCGUUUAUCAAUCAUUAACUUCAAUUUCACCGUCGUUGUUUCAGUAUUUGAUGUUGCUGUUGUUGCCAUUGCCAUGGUUGAUGUUUCUGGAGAAAAACAAAUAGGUAAUUAAUUAAAUAUCACUUCUAUAUAGGUGUUACUCUCCUUAGGAUGCGGAAGUGCUUCCUAAUUAAAGUCACUUUCCAAAGGUAAAACAAAGUGGGAGUUUUCACCCACCAGCAGUGGAGCUCCGAAAGAUGGAUAUAUGACGUGGGCACUAGGCAGCAAACUUGUAAUUAUUUUGUACCGUAAAGCAUCCCAUUUAGCUUUUGGGAGGCUUUCCGUGCGGGCAGUAUUGUUUUACAAAAUCAUUGAAAUGCUUUUAAUCGAAACGUGAUAUGCAAAUCUUUACCUUAACAACGUAUGAAAGCUAAUAAGAACGCGGCUGCUAUGGCAUUCUUUUUAUUACUUUUGUGACUUGCCUAUUGUGCUGGCUGCCGGUGAUUUGUCUUGCUUUCCUUCUUUGUUUCACUUUAUUUUAUUCUUUGCCAUUGCUUCCUUUGUCUUGCUUUUUUCGAUCGAUUUCUGUCUUUUACUUUGAUUGAUGUUGGUGACUCUUGCUUUUUUUGCUUUUGUUCUGCGUCAGCUUGCUUAUCGAAAAAGAACACCAAGAAUUCAUGAACCAGCUUAUUUCUAAAACAAAGCUUCUUUUGCAAGUCACCUUGUUUUAACGGAACUCAGUUUUAAUUCAUUCACUGAAUAUCAAAAUCGUGUUUAUUUUAAUUUCCCCAACCCUGCCUCCAUUUUUCAAAUUUAUUCCGUGGAACAACCUAAUAAUUGGACCAUUAUACAUUCUGUUCUUCGACACUGAUGUGUGACUGCCAGGUGCUUUUCCCGAUUUUGUUUCAUUGUUUGUAUAUUAUGUUUGUUAGCGGAGUUUGAAUUAAAUCUUGGUAAUGGGAGUAUUAUUUAACCAAAACAGGUUUUCUCAUGAUCUGAACUUUUAAAUUUUAAAUAUAAAAUUACGUAUAAUUAACAAAUCGUGAAUGGUAGCACAACUAUUAACCAUUGUAAAUUAAUAUCACAGAGUAUAAAUUUGCAGUCAUAAUUGUCGGUGCUGAAACGGGUUGAUAGACGACAAGUCGUCCAAGAGAUUGUGCUCCUCAUACGACAUCAACUUGCUGUCAUACAAGAAGCAUUAGUAAUGCACUUGAUCUGCACAUGUAAUUACGAUUCAUGCUACCAUUAAACGGCAGCUCCAAUUGUCGUUUUAAGCGUAGGGGCUGUUAAUGACAGUUAGUUUUGGCGGGAAUUUUUCUGGGUUUGUUUCAGCAAACCCAGAUCAUUAGCUGGCGAGUGGCAUCCCAUUCUGGAUCCUUCCAGAGCAGUAUAUAAGGUUCCUAAGGCUCAGCUUAGAGGAAUUAAGUUCUUUGUAACACUCUCUAUUAAGCUUGUAAUCUGUUGAGCAUCAAUAAAAUGGCUAUGGCUUCUGUUUCUCAAGAGGAUGUGUAGGCUGCUUAGCCGAACCUCUAUAAUUCCUUUUGUGUGCAGUUCCUUUCUUUUCUAUUUGUUUCUGUCAAAUCACUUUUACUUUGUUUCUGAUUGAGUUCGAAAUUCAUUCUUUAAAGGACAAGAUCAGUGUGGGGAAGUUUCUUGGGGUGUAGAAUUAGGAUUAAUCAAUUCUAAUUCCUAACAUUUUUCCUUCGUGAGCGUUUUUUCUCAGUCAGUUUCAAAAAGGGAGAGCCUUAAGUCUUAAGCAUCCUUUAGACCUGGACACCAAAAAGAAGAAAAAAGAAAUUUAUCACCUAAGGGUUCAAUGAUCCAAUUACAUUACUGAAAGUAUGACUUGUCGUUCGAAUAAAAUCUUUCUAGAUGCACAGUUAAAAUUAACCAGUCAUGAAAGUAAUUUAGAAACAACACGAGUUCAUUCAACACAAGCUUUCUCCUAAAAACACACCCACAUCCUAAAUAUUCAAUUUGUUGAGCAUUUGAGCAAAGUAAUAUAGAAGACAUAGUAUACAUAAGACAUAGGCAUCAUUUCCGAAUUAUCCAUCAGCAGUACAUAACCACAUCUUUAACAAAAACUCAAGCAGCAGCUUGAGGACUUUGGAAAGCCUUCAGGGACACUGCUAAGCUGUAAAAUACAGUAAUAUUAAUUAAGCUGGUCACCAGACUCUGUUUACUCCCAAUAAAAAUAUUUGGUAUAGUUUUUUUUUUUUUUAAUUUUUGACCACGAGAUAUCCUGGAGAGGGCAACAACUGUGGGAGGCACCUUUAAGCCUGUACCACAACCUAGAUUAGAAGUCCCCGCUCAAAUCGAGAGGCACAGGUUCUCCCAACAAAUGCGACUUCCCUGCGAUUCGAACUAGGGAGCAAACCUAGUCAAGUCACUUAAGAGAACUCCAUUACCAGUGGAGCCAACACUUUGUUGGUUAUUAUUUGGUAUAGUUUAAUUUGCAGGGUAGUUUUGAGUUCCCCAUGCAAAUUCUCAACAUUAAAUAUUUUUAAUGAAAUGUAAGUUCCUAAGACCAGAACUGAUUAUCAACAUACCUCAUCAAGGCCAAAAUUGACAACUUUCUCCUCAAGUGAACCCAACUCUCUACUAUUAAACUUGUUAAGGAAAGUGAUGCAAGAAAUAGCGGACAUGGGCGUCACCUCAAUUAUCCAUCACCAUGCAAGCGACCGCCUCUUUAACAAACCCUCUCUCAGGCUCAGCCACGGCAGCCGCAGCGCUUGCACCCUCCGCGGGAUAAACAAAAGCAAUCCCACUGUUCAUUCUCAUAUUGCAACUAGGACAAGACCUGUUUGGAGCAUCAGCAGCAUGAAAGUGACGACUAUAACCAACAUUAGAGCACGUGCAAAAUUUCCUAGCAUUUGGUACAACAUUUUUAUCAUCAGAAAGCAAAAGAGUGAUUUCAGUGGGACAUAUUGGAGAUUUGGGAUUAGCACUAAGUUCUUGUUUUGGUUUGAUUGCAUGUAGGAUCAAGUGCUUGUUCUUCACAAGCUUAACUAUAGAGCCAAUGGGCAGUGAGAAAAUCUAGAAAAGGAAAUCUACAAAGUCUUUGCCAGCUUCUGCGAAAAGCGAUUUCUGAACCUAUAAGAAGCUUCAAACUCAGUUUGGAGGCUGCCAUGGCUAAUUGUUCUAGGUUGUAUGUAGUAGAGAAAUUGUUACCAAUAUUCAGGCGUAGAUUCACUCAAAUACUUAAAAUGAUAAAAAAUUCUCAAGAUAUUAUGAGAAAUCUGGAUUUAUUAAAGAAUAUUGAAAAAAAAAAAACAGAGAGAGAGACUAUAGUUUUUAUUAAUUAUAAUAUAAUAAUAAUAACACAAAGUAAAUUAUUCUUCUUCUUCAUAGUAAUUGAUCCCACAUGAUGCUAAUCAUGCAUGGACACUUGCAAACAGAACUAUAUAAAACUUACGCGUAUAUAUAUGUGUUUAUAUACAUAUACUCUAUAUGUCAGAACUCUGUAUGAAUCUACAAUCUUCUGAUGGGAUUUUUGAAUUCCCAACAACCUUCUUCCUUGCCAUAUACUUUCAAUUACACCGCAUUUCGCCUUUUAUAUUUGAGAAAUAGUGGAUCGCAUAUCAUUAAAUGGUCAAAAAGUAAUUUCCUCAUCCAAUCGAAGAGAUCUCAUCUGCAUUGGUUCAAUUGAUUGUCCAGAUUGGAUAAUAAUUUGAUCCUAGAUAUAAAUUUGAUCAUAUUAAUGAAUUAAAUGUGUAUUGAAUUAUUCUAGUUAUGAAUCUCUUUGUCAAGAGGAACCACCAAGAAUUAAUUCAUAAUUAAAGCUUAUUUCGAAAACAGAUGAACCUUUUAGAAUUCUCCUUGUUUUACAAUUUUAAUGUCAUUCGUGAUCAUCACUGAAUAUCAAAAUCCUGUUUUCAUCAUCAUAUAUUCAUAUUAAUUAGUUGUUGUAAAGAAAUAAAUAAAUAAAUAAAUAAAUAAGAACUAAAAACUAAAAAGGGUCCACGCUUUCCUAAAUCCGUAACUUAGGAAAGGAGCCGUAUGUAAUUUUCCCAAUACUUGACUCCACUAGUUCCAUUAGCAAUGUAUAACUUGACCAUCGGUGAUUUAUUUUCGAAGCUGUAGAGAGUGAUAUUUACAAAUUAUAAUUGUUCCAUAAUAUCGAACACAGUUUAGCAAUUUGGUCUUUCUAAUGAUAAUUAUUAGAAUGUUUUCACAGCCUAAUUUACAAGCUAUCAAGACUAAUCACCAUGGAUGAGGAAGAUUUUUGCCGACUGCCAAUGUUGGGUUCCCUCUGGGAGUUCUAGUAAUUUACGAUGUUUAAGAAAAGUGGAAACGAGCAAUUAAAAACCGGAAAUCUACGUGUUCAUUGAUUAGAGUAUGAGUAAAGAACUGGAAAAUGAUCGUGUUACGCUCAAUUGACCCCAUCAUCUUCUCAGAAAGUGAAAAAAUAAAUAAAGUUUAAGCAUAAUAUAUUAACAUCAUUAAUUCAUCACAUACUUUUGUAACGUCAAGAACAAUGCACAAACACGAAAUAUGUACUAGGUUUAUUAUGAACAAACCUAACGGAUAUAUAAUGACAACUUAUAGCUAUCAUGACACCACAGUUGUUUUUAUGAGUCAUAUCAUUUUCAACCCAAAAACUUUUUCUUCAUAACGAAGGAAGAAGGUUCAUUUGUUUGCAUUGAAGCAUUCAACAGCUCCAAAACCUGAGAGGUAUGAAAACCAAUCUUUAUUUAGCCCAAAAUAGAUACAUUAGUACGUAGCUUAUGCUUUCAAAUUGAAAAGUUGAGAUAAUGAAGUCAAAAUUCAAUCGAGUAAAAGAUACCAGAGACUAACUCCUUACCUCAUCCGGGCCAAUAUCGACAACUCUCUCCUCCAGGGCACCAAUAUCCUUGAUUUUGCCCUGUAGCAGGCCAGUAGCAGAUAUUACUGACGCUGGUGUCACUGAUAAAUCAUCAGUUACCAUGUAAAAAACAGAUUUCUGCACAAUCUGCGAAGCUAUGUUCAAUUUCGUCAUCUUUUCAUGAGUCUGAGGAUGAGAACAUUGGGGACACCUGGUGUUAACUUGAGUUGUCACAUACAAGUGAUUGUUUCCACAACCGUACAACUUUCUCUCCACAGGUCCAGGUCGCGGACAAGCUUGGGGCUGCAAGAGCAGAGACGCUUUCCCCCAUUUUAGAAGGGGUUUCAAGAGCUCAGUUUUGGUUUGGUGGUUUAUUGGAUGAUCAUCAGUCAGGUUUUCAAGACUCUUGUAUAUGUUUCCCGUGCAGCCACUUGAACCAGCAUCCAUGACGAGCCUGGCGACACUACCAAGUGGCAUGUAAAGGACAUUGAACAGGAUAUUCACAAAAUCUUAGCUUCGGCAAACAAGACCUUGUUUGCUCGUUUAUCAAUCAUUAACUUCAAUUUCACCUUCGUUGUUUCAGUAUUUGAUGUUGAUGUUGUUGCCAUUGCCAUGGUUGACGUUUCUGAAGAAAAACAAAUAGACAAUUAAUUAAAUAUCACUUGCAUAUUAUACGUGGAUUACUUACUCUCGUUAGGAUGCGAAAGUGCUUCCUAAUUAAAGUCACUUUCCGAGAGUAAAACAAAGUGCGGGCAUGCACUAGUAAUGGACGGCCGAAAGAUGGAUAUAUAACGUGGGCACUGGGCCUUGUAAUUAUUUUGUUCCAUUUAGCUUUUGGGAGGCU
rnacentral:lncRNA from 1 species